rnacentral:misc_RNA from 1 species
AAGUCGUAACAAGGUUUCCGUAGGUGAACCUGCGGAAGGAUCAUUACUGAGUUCAUGCCCUUACGGGUAGAUCUCCCACCCUGUGUUAUUAUUACCUUUGUUGCUUUGGCGGGCCGUCAGGUUUCGGUCAGGCUACCGGCUCCGGCUGGUAAGCGCCCGCCAGAGGACCCCAAACUCUGAAUAUUAGUGUCGUCUGAGUACUAUAUAAUAGUUAAAACUUUCAACAACGGAUCUCUUGGUUCUG